GAGGACUUAGCUUAGUAAAAGUGCUUGAUUUGCGUUCAUGAGAUGUAGGGUGUCGUCCUGCAGUCCUUA
rnacentral:tRNA from 1 species